GAACGCGAUUCCACUCAACUGGUUUCACCUUCCCAUUGCAUACCAUGGGCGAGCAUCAUCUGUUGUAAUCUCUGGAACGAACAUUAUUCGACCGAGAGGUCAAGGUCAUCCAAGUGGCAACUCUCCACCAUAUUUUGGACCAACAUUGAAGUUAGACUACGAGCUGGAAAUGG